ensembl:lncRNA
AGGCGGGGAGCGGCCCCACGCGUGUGCUGGCGGCGGGGCCGCGCUGCGGGGCCGGGCGGCGCGCUGGCCGCGCUGCCCGCAGACGCACGGAGCAGGAGCGCUCCGCGGGUUCCCUGCGCGCUGCGCGCAGCUCCUGCCCCGCCGAGGCAGCGGGGAGGAGGGUUAAUUCCGUGCUCGUUACCCUCUCGUCCCGUCCUGUCCGCCCACCAUCGCCCUGUACGUACAAAGGAAACUUCGGUCGCAUCCUCCGGCAGUACCCCCUGAGUGAGCCCGUUGCAUUCCUGAUCAGGACAAAGACAAACCUCCGAAUUGGUCAUGAAAGUGAAUUUUUAUCCUCUGCAUGGCUGAUGCACUCCCUCAUGCUCAUGGCAUGCUAAACUGUGGUUCUGUUUUCAACGGCAGUCAGAAAACACUGAGCUAAGGAUGAGCAGGCUACUUAAGCAGUCUUCCCAGCAGGUGUCCCAUUCCCACUCCACCUGCAUUUGAAUGUGAGUGACCAGAACCGCAUGACUGAACCAGAACCGCAUGUGGGACCUCGGCUAUGAUCCCCUCAGUGCACUUCGACGGCGGCGUUUCAUCCUGGGAACACGUAUGGCCUCACCGCCGCGCCCGCUCCCUCCGCCCCAGCGGCGCCUGGGGGGGUCCGGGCGGGGCUGCGGCGCACGGAGCCCCAGCGAUUGCAGCGGGCUCUAUGUGUGUUCCGCUCACCGCCCCGGCUGCCCGCGCCUCCCGCCUUCCCCAUCCGCUUUCGGUGUAGCGCCCGCACGUGUGGGAUGCCCCGGCUCUGCCUCCCGGACCGGGGCUUGGCUGAUCUGCCCAAAGAGCCCCCCAGCCCCGGGUCUUCACAUUUUACCGGGAAAUCGGAAUAGUGGCGGAAAAGCCUCUGCUUACUGUUACCAAUAUCCUUAGGAAAUGCACGGUAUUUUCACGUCAGAACAGCUGAUUUUGUAUCAGAUGCAUUUAGUGACUAGCCAUUACAUGGGUUUUAUACACAGAUAGCCUUCUCUCCUUAUACCAAGUGAGCUCUCAAAACAGUGACAUCUGGAAAAUAGGACAUCAUUUGACUCCAAAUGGUGAAAAGUAUUUAAAAAUGACUGCCCGCUAUUUUUCCUGCUUUGUUAUCCUUAUAUCCCAUAGGGAUUGCUUCCCCUCUUUGGCAUUCUAAUGAAGGCUGUUUCAAUCCUCAUUUUAUGGUUAUGCAUAGUUUAUGUAUGCUGAGCAUGCCAUUUCCUCUUUUCUUAUAGAAUCCUCAUGCCUGUCACCCUAAAUCUGCUGCUUAAUUCCUUCCUGUCCUCCUGGCGCUGCUCCUCCUUUUCAUUUCUUCUCUCCUUUAUUGUAGCAUCUUUCACCUACUUUUUCUGCUACUACACACACUUCCACUACACACGCCAGCACCUGCCAUUGAGCUCAUUUCAUCACCCAGGAAAGAGAAUUAACAAUGGAGGAGUAGCAGGCUGGUUUCCUGUCCUGAAAGGAAUCCUUAAUAAAAUGUGUAGGUCCUGCUGCUUGGGUCUGCUUCAGCUGCCAUCACUGUGCAGCUAUAAAAGUUGGAUAAUUAACAGGGUUCCCUAAAAAAAAAAAAUAAAAAUAAAUGUGCUUUAUUGAGGGGAGAUAAUAAACCCUUAUUCACCCACAGAGAUGACAUCCCUCAGAGUAAGGAAGUAGAACAGGAGACAGUUCCACAAAGGCCACUGCCUCAGUGAAGCAGACUCUAAUUUUCAGAAGAUAGAACGCUGCUGUGCAUCAUGCCAGCAGCCAGACUGGAUCCUUUCUAUCCCCAGGAUUUGAAGAAUACAGGAAGGCACAGAAUGACCUGUGCUUAACCCUGCUCCUGCUCCUGCCGUUUAUUGCAGCAUCUAAGUUUAGACUUUAAUGGAUGGAUAUGGUCCAAAUAGUCAUCUCAGAGCUCGGCCUAAAUGGCUGGACAAUGUUCUGUGUUUGGAAAAGAAUUAUUAAACUGUCACAGUUCACCAGUGCUUUAGGGCAUGAUAACAAGGGACUCCAGAAAGACCUGUUUGGAGAGACUAAAUUGGUUAGUUUUGGGCUUCUGCAGUGGCAGUAAUAUGACAUGUUCUGUCUUUUGCUUUCAAACGUUAACGUCCUUCCGGCCUUUGAGUUGCCAAAGUGCUUAUAGAAAUCAUUUGCUUUGAGUCUAGGCAGGUCCUCUGAACCUCUUACCCUGCAAAGAGAAAGGAGGUAGUGUCCAUACAUCUGACAAUAGAAGAAGUCCUAAUAGCCCAGGCAUUUGUUUGGUAACAAGCAGGUGUUUGUCCAAAACCAAAUUUGGCUUUGUAUUAUGGCAGAAUGUUUUGUCAGUGUCUUUACUGUGUCCCCCAAAUAUCUGUAGUCUUGAAAAUAGCUAAGAAACACUGCUCCUGCCUGCUGCUCAAUGCAACAUGCUUAUCUUUUAUUCCACCAUAAGCUAUGUUUCAGCUGCAACUUAGAGAGAAGUCACAGGAUUGGACUAAGACAGAGGUAGGGCCAGAGGCCAUGCAAACAACUGGCAGCAUAUCUCUAACUCAUGGUAGAGUCUCUCACUGCUGUCAACAGUCCUCUAGAUUAGCUCAAAUUACUUCUUAUGCCCAGUAAGAAAUCCUUUCUGCACUCCUUCCUUCAACACAAGCAGCAGUCUUCUUUAUGGCCUUCUAUCGAAAUCAAGGUUAUUCUCUCAAUAAAGCAAAUAAUCUGUUUAGAUUUCA